UAUUGUGGAGCAAAUCCAGCCUGUAUCCAGAUUUGCUGUUGAGCAACUGGUUCAGACACCUGUUUGCUACUCUUAAAGUGUCUGUUUGCUACUCUUAAAGUGCUUACUAAAGAGUCUGUAACGAAGAAGAGCUUGUAUAUGGUGGGAGUGCAAGCUUAAGGUGCCGGCUCCAAAUCCAAAUGUUUGUUGUGAAUCUACGAGUCAUGCCUUUGGCGCCGGCCUUCCUGGCGAUGCAAUAGAUGCCUUUGGCGCCGGCCUUCCUUCCUGGCGAUGCAAUAGAUGCCUUUGGCGCCGGCCUUCCUCGCGACGCAAUAGAGCAAGAACAAGGGCGGGCCUAUUCGGCGCCGAACCAGAUGGAGACGAACUGCACAAAUCCGGCUGCCCAUUUGUCAAAAAAUAUGCUGGAUGGCGCCUCAUUCACGUCAUCAUUCGUGCUAUGAACACUCGCACUAGGUUCUGAAACCAACAAAGAGGUUAUUUCAUGCCACCACAUUCUAAUGAUUUAUGAGAACUAUUGUUAGUUUUCCUACUUUUGUAACACUAAUAAUUUACAUAUACAUGAUUUGCAGCUCACACUUCUGUAACAAUAAACAUUUAUGUAUAUAUAAUUUGCUUUUCUGAAAGUUGAUUACAUUUUUUUCCUGAUCACAUUAAAACAAGAAAAACAACACUUCUAUGCAAAUAUGUUCUUCAGAUCUCUUAG
rnacentral:lncRNA from 1 species